CAUAUCUUUUUCACCGAAGUAAGAAAAUUAACUGUUGUUUCAAUGUAAUUAUCCUCUUUUUGUUGCUAGCCAUGCUUUCAAGAGAGACGUGUACUGUUAAAGAUAGUAAGUUAUUGAUCUCACUUGAUGUUAAAUUAUUAUUCACGAAUAUCCUGAAGGAUCUUGUCCUUGAUUCUAUUAAAAAAAGAUGGAGUGAAAUUUCAUGGUUAAAUUGCUGAGUCAUCCAAUUUAUGGAAAAUAUUUCAUGAAAUAUGAUUCGGAUUUUCAUUAUCACUUUAAUGCCGAUGGUUUCUUAAAACGAUUGAUUGAAUGCCAAGGAUUUAAAAUUAAGUACUACCAUUUUAGAGAGGAAGUAAUAUAUCAAUCUGAUUAUAUUUUACCGAAUAGCAUCUUUGAGCUUCCUUUCAUACAUGAACUGACACCUGAACAACAAAACGACCUUAAGAACAUAUUAAAAGAGAAAUGG